rnacentral:lncRNA from 1 species
ACGGAAGUAGUAUGGUUCAUUAAAGGUUGGGAAUAUCCAUAUUAAGUGUUAUAAUCUAAGUUUGAAUCUUUGAAGAUUGAGCUAAUAGAAAUAAGAGUUAAAGCUCUAAAUAGUAUGAACUCAGGGUAUGGUGAUACUCAUGAAGAUUCUAAGUUAGUAAGUUUUCAAAUUAUAUGAUGACUAUAGGGUUUAUAGAAAGAUAGAGUUGUAUCUCAAAAGGAAGUAUUAGUAGUAGGUUUUACACUUUCAGGUGUAGUCUUUCG